AUGCCCCUAGACUUCACCAAGCACUUCGUCGCGGUGUCGACGGAGUUCAAGCUCAGGAACAACACUGGCUGCUCCUGGAAGGUGACGGUCAAACUGAUGAAUGGCAGGGUGAGCCUGGAUCAGGGUUGGGCCACCUACGCAGCCGUUCAUCAGAUCAAGAUCGGCUACAUGGUGACGUUCAAUCUCCUCACUCCCGACACCCUCAAGGUCAACAUCUUCAAUGACGAUGGCAUUGAGGUCGUCAACAAGUGCGGGAAGCACGACGACGCCUUCGCCGCCAAGGAGUACGGCCGGGCCACCUCUUUCGAGCGUACAAUCGAAUUAUGCUAG
rnacentral:rRNA from 1 species